GAUGAACGCUGGCGGCGUGCCUAAUACAUGCAAGUCGAGCGAACUUUUGGGAGCUUGCUCCCAAAAGUUAGCGGCGGACGGGUGAGUAACACGUGUGUAACCUGCCUGUAAGACUGGGAUAACUUCGGGAAACCGGAGCUAAUACCGGAUAACAUUGAAGACCACAUGGCCUUCACUUAAAAGGUGGCUUUUAGCUACCACUUACAGAUGGACCCGCGGCGCAUUGGCUAGUUGGUGAGGUAACGGCUCACCAAGGCGACGAUGCGUAGCCGACCUGAGAGGGGGAGAUGCCUAGCUGGGACUGGGACACGGCCCAGAAUCCUACGGGAGGCAGCAGUAGGGAAUCUCUCGGGAUGGCCGCAAGUCUGACGGAGCAACGCCGCGUGAGCGAAGAAGGCCUUCGGGUCGUAAAGGUCUGUUGUUAGGGAAGAACGAGUAGCGUUCGAAUAGGGCGGUACCUUGACGGUACCUAACCAGAAAGCCACGGCUAACUACGUG
rnacentral:rRNA from 1 species